rnacentral:tRNA from 1 species
GGCGUGGCCAAGUGGUAAGGCAGCGGGUUUUGGUCCCGUUACUCGGAGGUUCGAAUCCUUCCGUC